rnacentral:rRNA from 1 species
AGAGUUUGAUCCUGGCUCAGGAUGAACGCUGGCGGUAUGCUUAACACAUGCAAGUCGAACGGUGUCUUCGGACACAGUGGCGGACGGGUGAGUAACGCGUGAGAAUCUGGCUUUAGGUCUGGGACAACCACUGGAAACGGUGGCUAAUACCGGAUGUGCCGAGAGGUGAAAGGUUAACUGCCUGAAGAUGAGCUCGCGUCUGAUUAGCUAGUUGGAAGUGUAAUGGACUCCCAAGGCGACGAUCAGUAGCUGGUCUGAGAGGACGAUCAGCCACACUGGGACUGAGACACGGCCCAGACUCCUACGGGAGGCAGCAGUGGGGAAUUUUCCGCAAUGGGCGAAAGCCUGACGGAGCAAUACCGCGUGAGGGAGGAAGGCUCUUGGGUCGUAAACCUCUUUUCUCAGGGAAGAACAAAAUGACGGUACCUGAGGAAUAAGCAUCGGCUAACUCCGUGCCAGCAGCCGCGGUAAUACGGAGGAUGCAAGCGUUAUCCGGAAUGAUUGGGCGUAAAGCGUCCGCAGGUGGCUAUGUAAGUCUGCUGUUAAAGAAUCUAGCUUAACUAGAUAAGAGCAGUGGAAACUACAAGGCUAGAGUACGUUCGGGGCAGAGGGAAUUCCUGGUGUAGCGGUGAAAUGCGUAGAGAUCAGGAAGAACACCGGUGGCGAAGGCGCUCUGCUAGGUCGUAACUGACACUGAGGGACGAAAGCUAGGGGAGCGAAUGGGAUUAGAUACCCUAGUAGUCC